CAUAUUUCAAUUUUUUAAUAUUUAGACUUUACCUUAUUUGACAUGAAAAUGAUCAGUAUAACGAUGAAACUGACACUCUAUUUGUUAAUAAAACAACUUCCUAUGUAAUACACAUGGUAAAGUGUAAUAUUUCCCACUAUUUUACUAAUUUUAGCAAGCAACAAUAAUCGCAAAAUAUUUGGUUACAAACUACGAAGCUUUGAUCGAGAUUCAGUCACAUAUACGAGGAUUACGACGGUCUUUAAAGUGGAAACUGUCUGUGUAAUAAUGUUUAAAAGGUUGAUUCCUGAGGUCUCGUUUUAUAAACAGACAUAAACCUCAUUUCCAGGAUGGCCUGAUUUCUUGCAAGUUUUCUCAGUAUUAAAAUAUCACUCUGAAUGAGCAAUAUUGUUUAUAAGUGCACUCAUAGUUCUGAUACCCAUGGUUUAUUAAGCUGAGGAGUUUAUAGGUCACAUUCUUUUGUUUACCUUGAUCAUAUGCUAAUUAUGUUACUGGUGGAUUUUUGUACAACUUACAUAAUUAAUCUACUCUUGUUUUAUAUUGCAGAUUUAUUCCACAAUGACACACUCCUUUCUGGGUGGCAAGUUACAGUACCAAGCCACACAUAUCUUUGGAAACUGAACAUACUGUAUUUUAAUACAUGCUUCCAGAAAUAAUGUCACCUUGGCUAUAUAUAGGGUCUCAUUUUCACAAUUGAGAUAUAACUCAUGCCACAUGCAUGAAAAUGAGGCUCCAUAGCCAAGGUGAAAUACAUUCCGGAAGGGUGUAUUUGACUUUUUUGAAAAAUUAUUAGCAGUAAACAAUUUAAAAAACAAAAAUGUAUAAUUUUAAUUGCUAUUAAACUUUAUUUACACUUCAAUAAAGUUAUCAUAAUCAUAUAAUUAUUUAUGUUGUUAUGCAUGGUAUUAUAAUGAACUAAUUCAUUUUGUUGUUUUUCUGCAUGUUGAUGCCUCUCCUGUGUCAUCUCUUGUGUAUAUUAAACAUAUAAUUUCUGCAAAAUAAAAGAUGACAUUAUUAUCAUGAUACAUUAUACAUCUUUACAUCACAAUAAUAUCAUAUACACAUAUGUUAAUCCUUCACAAGUGGCAAUGUGUAUAUGCUUUACUGUAUUAUUUUAAAUUAAU